UCGAGGAUCUUCGGCAAUGGGCGCAAGCCUGACCGAGCGACGCCGCGUGCGGGAUGAAGGCCUUCGGGUUGUAAACCGCCGUCAGAGGGGAGGAAAUGCCAAGGGGUUCUCUUCUUGGUUUGACCUAUCCUCAGAGGAAGUACGGGCUAAGUUCGUGCCAGCAGCCGCGGUAAGACGAACCGUACAAACGUUAUUCGGCAUCACUGGGCUUAAAGGGUGCGUAGGCGGCACGGAAAGUUGGGUGUGAAAUACCUCGGCUACACCGAGGAACGGC
rnacentral:rRNA from 1 species